rnacentral:rRNA from 1 species
GACGAUCCGUCCAAACGUUAUUCGGAAUCACUGGGCUUAAAGGGCGCGUAGGCGGGUUGUCAAGUCCGGGGUGAAAGCCUCCCGCUCAACGGGAGAAGAGCCUCGGAUACUGAUGACCUCGAGGAGGGUAGGGGCAAGCGGAACCGUGGGUGGAGCGGUGAAAUGCGUUGAUAUCCAUGGGAACUCCGGUGGCGAAGGCGGCUUGCUGGAUCCUUUCUGACGCUGAGGCUCGAAAGCCAGGGGAGCAAACGGG